GAUGAACGCUGGCGGCGUGCCUAAUACAUGCAAGUCGGGCGAACGGACGAGAAGCUUGCUUCUCUGAUGUUAGCGGCGGACGGGUGAGUAACACGUGGAUAACCUACCUAUAAGACUGGGAUAACUUCGGGAAACCGUAGCUAAUACCGGAUAAUAUUUUGAACCGCAUGGUUCAAAAGUGAAAGACGGUCUUGCUGUCACUUAUAGAUGGUUCCGCGCUGCAUUAGCUAGUUGGUAAGGUAACGGCUUACCAAGGCAACGAUGCAUAGCCGACCUGAGAGGGUGAUCGGCCACACUGGAACUGAGACACGGUCCAGACUCCUACGGGAGGCAGCAGUAGGGAAUCUUCCGCAAUGGGCGAAAGCCUGACGGAGCAACGCCGCGUGAGUGAUGAAGGUCUUCGGAUCGUAAAACUCUGUUAUUAGGGAAGAACAUAUGUGUAAGUAACUGUGCACAUCUUGACGGUACCUAAUCAGAAAGCCACGGCUAACUACGUG
rnacentral:rRNA from 1 species